rnacentral:rRNA from 1 species
AUACGUAGGGUGCGAGCGUUGUCCGGAAUUACUGGGCGUAAAGAGCUCGUAGGUGGUUUGUCGCGUCGUCUGUGAAAUUCCGGGGCUUAACUCCGGGCGUGCAGGCGAUACGGGCAUAACUUGAGUACUGUAGGGGAGACUGGAAUUCCUGGUGUAGCGGUGAAAUGCGCAGAUAUCAGGAGGAACACCGGUGGCGAAGGCGGGUCUCUGGGCAGUGACUGACGCUGAGUAGCGAAAGCAUGGGUAGCGAACAGGAUUAGAGACCCUGGUAGUCCAUGCCGUAAACGGUGGGCGCUAGGUGUAGGGGUCUUCCACGACUUCUGUGCCGUAGUUAACGCAAUAAGUACCCCGCCUGGGGAGUACGGCCGCAAGGCUUAAACUUAAAGGAAUUGACGGGG